CUGCAGAAGUUGGCGAGUCAGUAUUUGAAGAGGGACUGGCCUGGGAUCAAACCAGACGACCAGAGGACAGAUUACAGGAAUGUGUAUGGAGUGUGGCGGGCUUAUCUUGAAGGCACCAUGCAGGUGACCCAGUCUCGACUCAACGUCUGCGAGAACUACAAGAACGAGAUCUCGGACCCCGCCAAAACUUUACGCCUCUACAAAGAACAGCAGCUGAAAAAGUGCAUUGAGCAGCUGGGUCGGAUCCAGGCAGAGCUCCAGGAUUCAGUGAAGGAUCUGG